rnacentral:misc_RNA from 1 species
AGACAACUUUCACUUAUUCUGUAUUAUAUAUUAAUAUAAACUCAUUUUGUUUUCAAUGCCAACAAAGUUCAUCAGAGUUCAUCAUAUCAAAAACAACAAUUGCCAAACUGGACUCAUAUUACAGACAAAACUGCAUGAUUUUGUUGGUAUUAAAAAAAGGUACUCAGAUGCCAUAAAGCUUCUGCUCUGAAAGAGUUGAAAAGGCAACCAAAGGUUUAGAAAUCUUCUGGGCCAUUGAUUUCCUUGUUUUCAAUUACCGCGUUGUCGGGUACUACCAAUUUUGUCCCUGAUUUGGCCGUGAUAGUCACUUUCCCCUUGAGAACGACGCCAACCCCGAACCAAACAUCGCCAACCACUUUAAGGCUAUCGAGAUCAAUGAUGCUGGGGAUUGACUUGAACCGGCUCAGGAAGUUACCAACCUUCUUGAAUUCUGGGCCAAGUUCAAUAGAAGGAUUGGAAGGAUUUUUUCUAGCUUUGUUGCGAAGGACAAAGCCAUCAACUAGAGUAUAAAGAUCAGACUGGACAAGAAGCAAAUCUGAAGUUGCCUUGACGGGAAGAAAUCGUGAUCGUGGUACAUUAAUACCGAUGGCAUGAUCAAAGAACCUGAUUGCUGCACCAGCUGCUGUUUCGAGCUGAAGAACUUUAAUCCCAUCAACUUCCUUGGGAUUUGGAAUAAUCUCCAUCUUAAGUGCA